GAUGAAUGUUGUGAUAAAAAUAAAAGCCCAUGUCAACAAAUUUGUACCAACACAAAUGGAAGCUAUGUGUGUUCAUGUAGGCGUGGAUAUUUCAUUAGUAGCAGUGAUGCUAAAAAUUGUAUUGACAUAAAUGAGUGUGCAAAUACAACCGCGCCUGUAUGCCAACAAAAAUGUACAAAUACAGUUGGAAGUUUUAAAUGUUCUUGUGGAGAUGGCUACAACAUUAAUACAACAGACCCUACCAAGUGUGAUGAUAUCAACGAAUGUGCAGAUACUAAAAAACCCGUGUGCGAACAUUUCUGUAUUAAUACACCUGGAAGCUUUAGAUGCACGUGUAGAAAUGGCUACAACAUAAACACGACUGACCCCACCAAAUGUGAUGAAAUCAACGAAUGUGCCGAUACCACCAACCCUGUGUGUGAACAACACUGUAGAAAUACACCUGGAAGUUUUGUUUGUUCAUGUGAUGAUGGCUACCUAAUCAACACAACAGACCACACCAAA